rnacentral:rRNA from 1 species
CAGCAGCCGCGGUAAUACGAAGGGGGCUAGCGUUGCUCGGAAUUACUGGGCGUAAAGGGAGCGUAGGCGGAUCGUUAAGUUGGGGGUGAAAGCCCGGGGCUCAACCUCGGAACUGCCUUCAAUACUGGCGAUCUUGAGUAUGAGAGAGGUGAGUGGAACUCCGAGUGUAGAGGUGAAAUUCGUAGAUAUUCGGAAGAACACCAGUGGCGAAGGCGACUCACUGGCUCAUUACUGACGCUGAGGCUCGAAAGCGUGGGGAGCAAACAGGAUUAGAUACCCGGGUAGUCCCUGUCUCUUAUAC